rnacentral:sRNA from 1 species
ACAAAACAUAAUAGAGAAAAACGGGAAAAAAGAGGGAUGUAACACGAGGACUUUCCGGGAGGUCACCCAUCCUAGUACUACUCUUGCCCAAGCACCCUUAACUGCGGAGUUCUGAUGGGAUCCGGUGCAUUAGUGUUGGUAUGAUCGCAUGUGUUACUACAUGCAAUGUAAUCGUAUCUAUUCUUUUUAAAGACUUUAUGAUCCAUUUGCCGUGGGUCCCACCAGCUAUGUAGGAAUACCCUAUCUUCUUUAUAAGAGCUUUGAUACAUGCAAAAUAUUGGAAAACAAUGUCCGAACAUAUUAUUUUCCCCCCGUAAUAUAGCAAAGAUCACGAAAAGGCCCGAAAAUGUACAUUAAGUUCAAAAUUUGGAGUAGAAAAAAAAAACAAUAGAAGAAUUCCAUUUUCCUUCCUCAUUCAUCGGAGAGCUCUCUUUGGGCUUUCCGAAAAGGUAUAACAUUCCAAGUUUGGCCUCAUGGUCUCAAAGUUAUAAAGACAUACAUUUUUCACAAA